rnacentral:tRNA from 1 species
GCGAGCGUGGUGGAACUGGCAGACACGCUAGACUUAGGAUCUAGUACCGUAAGGUGUGGGGGUUCGACUCCCUUCGCUCGCAC